GGUACUCUGACCGUGCAAAGGUAGCAUAAUCAUUUGCCUUAUAAUUGAAGGCUGGAAUGAAUGGUUUGACAAGAAUACACCUGUCUCUUCAUGAUUACUUAGAAUUUUAUUUCUAGAUGAAAAAGUCUAGAUAUUAUUAAAAGACAAGAAGACCCUAUCGAGCUUGAGAAAAAUUAACAGGCAUAUUAGAACUCAAUAUUAGUAAAAGAAAAGCUGUUAAACACUUUGGUUGGGGCAACCUGGGAGUAAGCAAAGCCUCCUAAUUAUAACAAGUCGGACCUGCGUUGAUCCAGUUGUAUUGAUCAAAGGAAUUAGUUACCGUAGGGAUAACAGAUUAUCUUUUUCAAGAGCCCAUAUCGAAAAAAAGGUUUGUGACCUCGAUGUUGGACCAGAAUGUCCUAAAGAU
rnacentral:rRNA from 1 species